AUUUAAGUAAUUUAAAAUAAAAUUUUGAUUUGUGGUAUCAAAAAUGUAAUAUAUUUACCUUAAAUU
rnacentral:tRNA from 1 species